CCUACGGGAGGCAGCAGUGAGGAAUAUUGGUCAAUGGGCGAGAGCCUGAACCAGCCAAGUCGCGUGAAGGAUGACGGCCCUACGGGUUGUAAACUUCUUUUGUCAGGGAGCAAUUGGGUCCACGCGUGGGCUUAGCGAGAGUACCUGCAGAAAAAGCAUCGGCUAACUCCGUGCCAGCAGCCGCGGUAAUACGGAGGAUGAGAGCGUUCUCCGGAUUUAUUGGGUUAAAAGGGUGCGUAGGCGGAUCGUUAAGUGCGUGGUAAAAUUGCGGUGGUCAACCCCUACCCGCCUUUGAAACUGGCGCUCUUGAGUGGAAGAGAAGUAUGCAGAAUGCGUGGUGUAGCGUUGAAAUGCAUAGAUAUCACGCAGAACCCCGCUUGCGAAGGCAGCAUGCCGGCUUCCGACGGACGCUGAAGCACGAAAGCGUGGGGAUCGAACAGGAUUAGAUACCCUGGUAGUC
rnacentral:rRNA from 1 species